GGCGAACGGGUGAGUAACACGUGAGUAACCUGCCCCUGACUCUGGGAUAAGCGUUGGAAACGACGUCUAAUACUGGAUAUGACUGCCGNCCGCAUGGUCUGGUGGUGGAAAGAUUUUUUGGUUGGGGAUGGACUCGCGGCCUAUCAGCUUGUUGGUGAGGUAAUGGCUCACCAAGGCGACGACGGGUAGCCGGCCUGAGAGGGUGACCGGCCACACUGGGACUGAGACACGGCCCAGACUCCUACGGGAGGCAGCAGUGGGGAAUAUUGCACAAUGGGCGAAAGCCUGAUGCAGCAACGCCGCGUGAGGGAUGACGGCCUUCGGGUUGUAAACCUCUUUUAGUAGGGAAGAAGCGUAAGUGACGGUACCUGCAGAAAAAGCACCGGCUAACUACGUGCCAGCAGCCGCGGUAAUACGUAGGGUGCAAGCGUUGUCCGGAAUUAUUGGGCGUAAAGAGCUCGUAGGCGGUUUGUCGCGUCUGCUGUGAAAUCCCGAGGCUCAACCUCGGGCUUGCAGUGGGUACGGGCAGACUAGAGUGCGGUAGGGGAGAUUGGAAUUCCUGGUGUAGCGGUGGAAUGCGCAGAUAUCAGGAGGAACACCGAUGGCGAAGGCAGAUCUCUGGGCCGUAACUGACGCUGAGGAGCGAAAGCGUGGGGAGCGAACAGGAUUAGAUACCCUGGUAGUCCAUGCCGUAAACGUUGGGCGCUAGAUGUAGGGACCUUUCCACGGUUUCUGUGUCGUAGCUAACGCAUUAAGCGCCCCGCCUGGGGAGUACGGCCGCAAGGCUAAAACUCAAAGGAAUUGACGGGGGCCCGCACAAGCGGCGGAGCAUGCGGAUUAAUUCGAUGCAACGCGAAGAACCUUACCAAGGCUUGACAUACACCGGAAACGGCCAGAGAUGGUCGCCCCCUUGUGGUCGGUGUACAGGUGGUGCAUGGUUGUCGUCAGCUCGUGUCGUGAGAUGUUGGGUUAAGUCCCGCAACGAGCGCAACCCUCGUUCUAUGUUGCCAGCGCGUUAUGGCGGGGACUCAUAGGAGACUGCCGGGGUCAACUCGGAGGAAGGUGGGGAUGACGUCAAAUCAUCAUGCCCCUUAUGUCUUGGGCUUCACGCAUGCUACAAUGGCCGGUACAAAGGGCUGCGAUACCGUAAGGUGGAGCGAAUCCCAAAAAGCCGGUCUCAGUUCGGAUUGAGGUCUGCAACUCGACCUCAUGAAGUCGGAGUCGCUAGUAAUCGCAGAUCAGCAACGCUGCGGUGAAUACGUUCCCGGGCCUUGUACACACCGCCCGUCAAGUCAUGAAAGUCGGUAACACCCGAAGCCGGUGGCCUAACCCUUGUGGAAGGAGCCGUCGAAGGUGGGAUCGGUGAU
rnacentral:rRNA from 1 species